GCAGUCGAGGGGCAGCAUGGUCUUAGCUUGCUAAGGCUGAUGGCGACCGGCGCACGGGUGAGUAACACGUAUCCAACCUGCCGUCUACUCUUGGCCAGCCUUCUGAAAGGAAGAUUAAUCCAGGAUGGGAUCAUGAGUUCACAUGUCCGCAUGAUUAAAGGUAUUUUCCGGUAGACGAUGGGGAUGCGUUCCAUUAGAUAGUAGGCGGGGUAACGGCCCACCUAGUCAACGAUGGAUAGGGGUUCUGAGAGGAAGGUCCCCCACAUUGGAACUGAGACACGGUCCAAACUCCUACGGGAGGCAGCAGUGAGGAAUAUUGGUCAAUGGGCGAUGGCCUGAACCAGCCAAGUAGCGUGAAGGAUGACUGCCCUAUGGGUUGUAAACUUCUUUUAUAAAGGAAUAAAGUCGGGUAUGCAUACCCGUUUGCAUGUACUUUAUGAAUAAGGAUCGGCUAACUCCGUGCCAGCAGCCGCGGUAAUACGGAGGAUCCGAGCGUUAUCCGGAUUUAUUGGGUUUAAAGGGAGCGUAGAUGGAUGUUUAAGUCAGUUGUGAAAGUUUGCGGCUCAACCGUAAAAUUGCAGUUGAUACUGGAUGUCUUGAGUGCAGUUGAGGCAGGCGGAAUUCGUGGUGUAGCGGUGAAAUGCUUAGAUAUCACGAAGAACUCCGAUUGCG
rnacentral:rRNA from 1 species